AAUCCCCGGGCUUACCUGGGAACUGCAUUUGUGACUGCGAGACUAGAGUGUGGCAGAGGGGGGUAGAAUUCCACGUGUAGCAGUGAAAUGCGUAGAGAUGCGGAGGAAUACCGAUGGCGAAGGCAGCCCCCUGGGCCAACACUGACGCUCAUGCACGAAAGCGUGGGGAGCAAACAGGAUUAGAUACGCUGGUAGUCCACGCCCUAAACGAUGUCAACUAGUUGUUGGGGAAGGAGACUUCCUUAGUAACGCAGCUAACGCGUGAAGUUGACCGCCUGGGGAGUACGGUCGCAAGAUUAAAACUCAAAGGAAUUGACGGGGACCCGCACAAGCGGUGGAUUAUGUGGAUUAAUUCGAUGCAACGCGAAAAACCUUACCUACCCUUGACAUGCCAGGAACUUUCCAGAGAUGGAUUGGUGCCCGAAAGGGAACCUGGACACAGGUGCUGCAUGGCUGUCGUCAGCUCGUGUCGUGAGAUGUUGGGUUAAGUCCCGCAACGAGCGCAACCCUUGCCAUUAAUUGCCAUCAUUCAGUUGGGCACUUUAAUGGGACUGCCGGUGAUAAACCGGAGGAAGGUGGGGAUGACGUCAAGUCCUCAUGGCCCUUAUGGGUAGGGCUUCACACGUAAUACAAUGGUCGGUACAGAGGGUUGCCAACCCGCGAGGGGGAGCUAAUCCCAGAAAGCCGAUCGUAGUCCGGACUGUUCUCUGCAACUCGAGA
rnacentral:rRNA from 1 species